rnacentral:pre_miRNA from 1 species
AACUCCAUAGCCUUACUCCAGGUAGAUCCACCAGAACAUGAAGUUCAAGGUGGGUCUCCUGGAGAAAGGUCCUUUGGUGG